CCUUACCUGGCCUUGACAUACUAAGAACUUUCCAGAGAUGGAUUGGUGCCUUUCGGGAACUUAGAUACAGGUGCUGCAUGGCUGUCGUCAGCUCGUGUCGUGAGAUGUUGGGUUAAGUCCCGCAACGAGCGCAACCCUUUUCCUUAUUUGCCAGCGGGUUAAGCCGGGAACUUUAAGGAUACUGCCAGUGACAAACUGGAGGAAGGCGGGGACGACGUCAAGUCAUCAUGGCCCUUACGGCCAGGGCUACACACGUGCUACAAUGGUCGGUACAAAGGGUUGCUACCUCGCGAGAGGAUGCUAAUCUCAAAAAGCCGAUCGUAGUCCGGAUCGCAGUCUGCAACUCGACUGCGUGAAGUCGGAAUCGCUAGUAAUCGCGGAUCAGAAUGCCGCGGUGAAUACGUUCCCGGGCCUUGUACACACCGCCCGUCACACCAUGGGAGUUUGUUGCACCAGAAGUAGGUAGUCUAACCGCAAGGAGGACGCUUACCACGGUGUGGCCGAUGACUGGGGUGAAGUCGUAACAAGGUAGGCGUAGAUGA
rnacentral:rRNA from 1 species